rnacentral:rRNA from 1 species
GGUUAAGCGAACAAGCGUACACGGUGGAUGCCCUGGCAGUCAGAGGCGAUGAAGGACGUGCUAAUCUGCGAAAAGCGCCGGUAAGGUGAUAUGAACCGUUAUAACCGGCGAUGUCCGAAUGGGGAAACCCGGUGCACUUCGGUGCAUCAUCGUUAGCUGAAUACAUAGGCUAACGAGGCGAACCGGGGGAACUGAAACAUCUAAGUACCCCGAGGAAAAGAAAUCAACCGAGAUUCCCCCAGUAGCGGCGAGCGAACGGGGAACAGCCCAGAGCCUGAAUCAGCUUGUGUGUCAGUGGAACGGUCUGGAAAGGCCGGCGAUACAGGGUGACAGCCCCGUACACGAAGGCACACAGGCUGUGAGCUCGAUGAGUAGGGCGGGACACGUGAUAUCCUGUCUGAAGAUGGGGGGACCAUCCUCCAAGGCUAAAUACUCCUGACUGACCGAUAGUGAACCAGUACCGUGAGGGAAAGGCGAAAAGAACCCCGGCGAGGGGAGUGAAACAGAACCUGAAACCGUGUACGUACAAGCAGUGGGAGCCUUCGUAAGAGGGUGACUGCGUACCUUUUGUAUAAUGGGUCAGCGACUUAUAUUCUGUAGCAAGGUUAACCGUAUAGGGGAGC